AGAGUUUGAUCCUGGCUCAGGAUGAACGCUAGCGGGAGGCCUAACACAUGCAAGUCGAGGGGCAACAGGUUAUAGCAAUAUAAUGCUGGCGACCGGCGCACGGGUGCGUAACACGUAUGUAACUUGCCUUUAACUAGGGAAUAGCUCAAAGAAAUUUGAAUUAAUGCCCUAUAGUAUUAUAGAAUCUCCUGAUUUUAUAAUUAAAGCUCCGGCGGUUAAAGAUAGGCAUGCGGCUGAUUAGCUAGUUGGUGAGGUAACGGCUCACCAAGGCAACGAUCAGUAGGGGGCCUAAGAGGGUGAACCCCCACACUGGUACUGAGACACGGACCAGACUCCUACGGGAGGCAGCAGUGAGGAAUAUUGGUCAAUGGGCGCAAGCCUGAACCAGCCAUCCCGCGUGAAGGAUGAAGGCUCUAGUAGUUGUAAACUUCUUUUAUAUGGGAAGAAACCUGAGUACGUGUACCCAGUUGACGGUACCAUAUGAAUAAGCAUCGGCUAACUCCGUGCCAGCAGCCGCGGUAAUACGGAGGAUGCAAGCGUUAUCCGGAUUUAUUGGGUUUAAAGGGUCCGCAGGCGGGAUCAUAAGUCAGUGGUGAAAUCCUAUAGCUUAACUAUAGAACUGCCAUUGAUACUGUGAUUCUUGAAUGUAGUUGACGUGGGCGGAAUAUGACAUGUAGCGGUGAAAUGCUUAGAUAUGUCAUAGAACACCAAUUGCGAAGGCAGCUCACGAAACUAUUAUUGACGCUCAGGGACGAAAGUGUGGGUAGCAAACAGGAUUAGAUACCCUGGUAGUCCACACCGUAAACGUUGAUCACUAGAUGUCGGCGAUACACAGUCGGUGUCCAAGCGAAAGUGUUAAGUGAUCCACCUGGGGAGUACGACCGCAAGGUUGAAACUCAAAGGAAUUGACGGGGGCCCGCACAAGCGGUGGAGCAUGUGGUUUAAUUCGAUGAUACGCGAGGAACCUUACCUGGGCUUGAAAUCAGUAUGACAGAUCUGGAAACAGAUCCUUCUUCGGACAUAUUGGUAGGUGCUGCAUGGCUGUCGUCAGCUCGUGUCGUGAGAUGUCGGGUUAAGUCCCAUAACGAGCGCAACCCCUGUCUUUAGUUGCCAGCGAGUAAUGUCGGGGACUCUAAAGAGACUGCCGGUGCAAACCGUGAGGAAGGCGGGGAUGACGUCAAGUCAGCACGGCCCUUACGUCCAGGGCUACACACGUGCUACAAUGGCCAGUACAAAGGGCAGCUACACUGCAAAGUGAUGCGAAUCUCUAAAACUGGUCUCAGUUCGGAUCGGAGUCUGAAACUCGACUCUGUGAAGCUGGAAUCGCUAGUAAUCGGAUAUCAGCAAUGAUCCGGUGAAUACGUUCCCGGGCCUUGUACACACCGCCCGUCAAGCCAUGGAAUCUGGGGGCGCCUGAAGUCGGUCACCGCAAGGAACCGCCUAGGGUGAAACUGGUAACUAGGGCUAAGUCGAAACAAGGUA
rnacentral:rRNA from 1 species